rfam:Canis lupus familiaris chromosome 36, whole genome shotgun sequence.
UUUUGCAGAUGUCUUAAAUUCUCAUUCCAUGUUAAAGAAUCACAGAGAGCCUGUAAAGGUGAAUCCACCGGGGCUGGCUGGGGAAAAGGAGGAAGCUUGCUCCAGAAGGAACUGUCUGAGGGAU